UCUACUUUGUACUAAAGUUAGUACAAAACUGAGUCAAUUUGAGUCACUUAUUUUGGGACGGAGGGAGUAGUAAUUAAAUGGCAUAUUUGACUGGAAAGUAAUUUUGGUAGCUAGUUGCCCGUGCACCCCAUGUUCUCUCUACUCCAUUUUUGAUCCUUUGUGGUUUCAAAGAUGGUGAAAUGAUGCAUGGAUGUAGGUCAUGCUAUAUAAUGUGCAUCUACAAAAACUUGUAACAGAUUAUAACAUCUUGUGGCCUGUAUAAAAAAAGACAAAUUUAUAUCUUGUGCAUGCUAUUUAACUGAGUACUAUUCAUUUAAAGCUUUUAUUUUUUGUCUAGCUCCCAAAUGGUUAUAUUAUUGAAUGUUUUUUUUACAAGUGCACAAGGCAUGACAUUAAUAUCAUCUCAUGACUUAUUUCACAGAAAUAAAAUAAAAGAGGAGAGAAUACGGGUCGCUCGGCCAACUAGUUGCACAAAAUACCCUUUCAAGAUUUUCUUUAAAGAAUUAUUGGAUGACUUUCCCUGUAGGAGUCUUUUUUCUAUAAGAAAUUAUCUGCCCAGAAUCCCAUACCAGAAACUGUUUGACAUGCCGUUUUGGGGCAGAUCUUAAAAAUGGAGCAACCAUGUAGGUUUGUUAUGUUGCUAUGUUAGAGGUGGUUAGUAACUAUGGCAUUGGAAAGUAUCUAUGGGCACUUUCAGGUCCCAGAUAUGUAUGAAGAGUGUUUUCUGCCAGAAACAGGAAGCAUCCGUCGUACCAUUGGCGGGCACCUGAAAUGUUCUUGCUAAGAUUGUAUUGUCAGAUCCAUGCAAUACAUCCAAGGGAAGUCGUUAACAUUUGAUAGAAAGUUGAGGUGUCUCAAGAUAUUCUGUAUAACAAUAUAUUUGAGCAUGUCUCAUCCUGAAGCACUGGAUAGGGUUGAUCUCUGUUUUGCCCUCACUUGCCAGCUUUCUUUCUUUGAUGGAUAGAAAAAUGUGGGGGCUGGAGAGAUGUCCUUUUCUGUCUAAUAUACAUUUGUGUCUAGACCAAGAUGACUGCCUCUUUUAUAUUGCAUUUUGACGGCUAUUGCGGCCAGUUGGCGUCCCUGUUUUCAGCUGCUUAUAUUAAUAACAACUAUGAUUGGCUGUAGCAUCCUUCAGCUCAAAUUUAUUAUUAUCUUGGUUUUUUUUGAAUGAAAGGGGUCCCCCCCUGCCCCAUUUUAUUUAAAAUGAAGCAGACCAAGAGUAACAAGGACCUCCACGCGCAAAACAGAAAAGACCAAAGGAUAGAAAGCUAAUCAGGGUCCUGGCUCCAUGCGAUUAUCUCGGUUUGUAUUGUCUCAGGAGUAUGGGUUACUGCAAAUUCACCAUGUUGUUGUAGGUUGUCUUUUUUCUUUUUUUGUGGGUGUUGCUGUAGUUUGUCAUGUCAGAUUCACAAUUGAUUUUGGAAUAUGCGAUUUUGAAACAUGCAGCUAACCCGGAUUGGAAUUCGGGCAUGACGUUA